AUGGGAAUUCCUUCUAAAGGUAAAAGACUGUCUGUUCUCAUGGCGGUGGCAUGUGUGGCAUCAUGGUGCACUGGAGCUAUAUUUGGAGCAGUGCCAGUAGCCUUUGACUGGAUAAGGUAUGAUCCAGCAGAAAUGCUGUGUGCAGUGUUCUGGGAAAGCAGUUACUCUGACAUGCUGGUUUACAUCCUCUGUGCCUUCUCCAUCUCCAUCUUCGUCCCAUUUCUACUCAUACUCUCCUGCUCCAUCCUGAACUGUGUAGGCUUUGGAAAAGAUGGUUCCAGCCAGGGUGACCUGUCUUCUAUCACGCCACUGCUGGUGAUCUUGUAUCUGUUCUGCUAUGCUCCAUUUGCUGCAUCUGAGUUGGUUCUCCUUGCAAGGCUUGAUCUUACCCCAUCCCCUGAAUGGCUGCGAUCACUGUCAUCAGUAAUGGCAUAUCUGGACUGUGUUUUAAACCCCUUUAUCUACUGCACUAAUAAAAACUUCCGAAAAGCAGUACUCAUACUGUUUUGGAACAAAAGGAGAUCAACUUUUCCCGAUCCAGUGCUGACCGGCAUUACAAGGCUCGAAAUAUGAAGCUUUAAGAUAAAGAUGAUUAAAAAGGUUUGUGUUUUUUUUCUUGUGCGACAGAUUUUGUAACGCAUCUCAUCAUGAUUUUAAUGGGAAGAAAUGACAGUGUCUCAUGACUAGAUGUGUGCUGAGAUACAAAUAUUGUAGUGUAGGUAAAGGCAGACAUGCAGCUUAUAAUAAAUCUGAUAGAUGUUUUUGCUCAAAGUUUUAUUUUAAUUCAUCAAGUUAACAGGCUGUCCAUUUUUUAUUCGUCUUCAACUUGAGAAUGAGAAACCUGAGAAUGAGGGUUAGGAGAUGACAUCAUGAACUACACACACACAUUAAAAUGCAUCAAAUAGUGAAUUUGUACUCACACAUCUGGUUUACUAUUUUUGUGGGGACUCUACAUAGGCGUAAGUUUUUCUACUGUACAAACCGUAUUUUCUAUCAUACUACAUCAACCCUACACCUAAACCUACCCCUUAAAGAAAACUUUCUGAAUUUUUACAUUCUCCAAAAAAAAAAAAAAAAAAAACAUUCUGUAUGAUCUGUAUGUAUACACACACACACACACACACACAGUAUUUUGAUUUGAAAAUAUAAUACUGUAUUCUAAGAGAUGAAAUCCAAGUAUUUGACAUAUUUGUUUUUCAGUUUUCCUGAAAAAUCAAAAUUACCAAGUUAUUUUCUGACACUGUUCUGAACAUUACUAGACAUUACAUUACAAUAAAGGGAUAAUCAAGAUGAAAGUGGAAAAAGAACAGCAUCCAUUUAAACAAAAUAAGAGUUUAAACAUGUAAUGAGCAUUGUCUUGUUAUUCAGUUGUAUUGUGUUCACAGUAUACAUUAAAUAUAUUAAAUGUAAGUACGACAUUAAAUGUAUGAGUAGUAUUUAUGAUGAGCGUUUGUGUGCAUUAAGGCGGGUGAGAAAAAAAAAAAAAAAACCUGUAAUGAAACUGCAGAAUGUCGCAAACUUUGGACCAGAAAUGUCCGGUAAGAUUUUAAAAAACACCCAGUACUCUGCGAGAGAAUGAUCCAGAAGCUUCAGAACCACAAAACCAGCGCAGGACAUCGCGGCCAAGCAAUACGGAAUGAAAUUAGACUCAAAAUGAUUAAUAGAUGCACGCAAAAUUAUCCAUGUACUGCAUACAUUUUAUACAUAUGUGGAUCAGGUAACACGCAUGCAUUAAUUGACGUCUAGUUCGAGUCGAUCUUGUUCGGUUCAUUUGGAUUUUGAGACUUCAUUUUCGCAGUUUACAGCAUUUCACGCCCCCCCCCGCCCCCCCCCCCCCCCCCCCCCCCCCCCCCCCCCACACCCACACACACACACACACACACACACACACACACACACAAAACUACCAACGAACAAGGCCCAGUGCCAUUCAUUAACGUGUACACGAUUUGAAAAAUUUGUAAAUGUGCGUCACUACACUGAAACAAAUGCUUUUCAACCGGUGUCUGCAGAGUUAAGAAUGACAUUAAUGUGCAGCAUUUUGUUCAAAUAGAGACAUGCUUGUGAAUACAAAUGUUAUAGUUUGUAGCCUAUUAAAUUAUCAUAAUUUGUGCAUCAGGCGACGCGCGUGCAUUCAUCCAGUCGAUUCAAUUUGAUUCAGGUGAUUUUGAGACUUUCGUUCCGCCCUUUUAGCCCAAUCCACACACCCAGCUCGCGAUCCACAAGCAGCUGAGCCAAAGAAAAUCAGCGACCACUAGAUGCCACUAUAGCCCGUCACAUGUGCGCCUUCCAUUGUGUACAGUUUAAUGAAUGUUACAUUGUGUUUUCUUUGUUUCUUUUUGGUUUGGCUAUUUUCCUCUGCCCGUAGAAACACAAUAAAGAUGUUUUAUUGAACUUGUUCGAACUUAACUUGCCUUAAGACACAGAAUAGCUUAUAUUAAUUUUGCCAAACAAGAACUUCGUGACAAUAGCCUACCAUGUUUUUUCCCCCUGUAAUUCAACUGCACGUUGUCAGUUAUUCCUUCCUUGUAGGCUAUUAUUAUUAUUAUUAUUAUUAAUAUUAUUAUUAUGCAAAGAUGAAGUAGAUGAUGCUGAUUAGCCAUCUCUGCACUGCAGUACGAGAGAAAUGCACCUUUCAUAUAGGCCUACAACACUGCAUACGCUGCAGCCUUUUCAUUAUCAGAAUAAAAUACAGUCAACCAAACAUAUAGAUACACUGGUUAAUUAAAACAGCCCGCGGUACAAUCCGCGCAGUUCAGCCUGAGCUCGGGACAAGCACAUGAAGAGGACGAUUUUUCAUGUGAAGAAGAGCAUGAUAUAUAUAUAACGUGGACGACCGCCGACAUGUUCAUUUUCAAAUAAAAGAGAUAGAAUCCAAAUCAAAACGACAGCAGCAAAACACGUGGAAUAUUGUGUACAGUGUACAAAGGUUGGUUUCCGAAAUCUAGAUCACGUGACGACCACUGUAGCCUUUCAUUGGUUUAGCAUACAACCAUUCUGCUCAUACUAGUUUUGUAGUAUGUGUACAGUGUGCAGAUUUCCUGUAUAUGGAAUAGCCCAGCAUUGCAAAACUCCUCUUCCUGUAAAGCCACAGCCCUGCAUUGUUCAGCGUCAACCCUCAUCAAACGCACUUGAUCUUUCAGACUUACUGGAAAACUACAUCAAGUCCUACUACCAUUGUCAUUCAGGUUUACUGGAAAACUACAUGGUAUGUGUGUUGGAAUGAAACUCUGCAGGGCUUGUGGGCCUCCAGGAACUUUGACAACCCUGGAAUAUACAUUUGCCAAAAUAUGCAACAUGCAGAAUAGCACACUGCAUGGAAUACUGCAUAUAUAUAUAUAUAUAUAUAUAUAUAUAUAUAUAUAUAUAUAUAUAUAUAUAUAUAUAUAUAUAUAUAUAUAUAUAUAUAUAUAUAUAUAUAUAUAUAUAUAUAUAUAUAUAUAUAUAUAUAUAUAUAUAUAUAUAUA
ensembl:lncRNA